rnacentral:rRNA from 1 species
GGAAUAUUGCACAAUGGGGGAAACCCUGAUGCAGCGACGCCGCGUGAGUGAAGAAGUAUUUCGGUAUGUAAAGCUCUAUCAGCAGGAAAGAAAAUGACGGUACCUGACUAAGAAGCCCCGGCUAACUACGUGCCAGCAGCCGCGGUAAUACGUAGGGGGCAAGCGUUAUCCGGAUUUACUGGGUGUAAAGGGAGCGUAGACGGCUCUGCAAGUCUGAAGUGAAAGCUCGGGGCUCAACCCCGGAACUGCUUUGGAAACUGUAAAGCUGGAGUGCAGGAGAGGUAAGCGGAAUUCCUAGUGUAGCGGUGAAAUGCGUAGAUAUUAGGAGGAACACCAGAGGCGAAGGCGGCUUACUGGACUGUAACUGACGUUGAGGCUCGAAGGCGUGGGGAGCAAACA